UGAAAGGACAAUAAAUAGUGAGAAAUGAGGUGAGGACAGAACAGAGAAGGUAGAAAUUGCACAAUCCCAGAUGGCGCUGCAACUUGACUGGAACACACUGAGAUCCCAGAUGUGGGACCAUUUUCCCACGAAAGCUUUGUGGUCACUGCCUGGAAUCGAACUCGGAA